GCAGGUCCUACUCUCCCCUCCCCUUCCUCCUCUCCUUUAAACGGGCUGGUCUCCCCGCGCUGCCACAGCAGUAACCCCAGCUAGGGCUCAGUGCUGGGAGGAUCUGAGAGGCUGCACCCCGAGGAACCCUGAGCAGUCAUGAGCUCAUUGCUGUCAGACGGAGUGACACAAGGCUGGUAAAUGACUUAUUGGAUAAACUACGAGGUCUACAAAAAAAAAGAACGGGAGCUCCACGUGGCCAGAUUGUUGAGUCUGCGCUCCUGGCUCCCCCGUGACUCACCUGGGACCCGUGGGGGCCCCAGCAGGGACUCAGACUGCAGCAGCAGGGGUGGGUCUGGAGCCCUGACCCGCCUUUCCCAGGAGAGCAUCAGCAGGACCUUGCUGGACCACCCGCAUCGUGAGUGUCAGAACGGCCUGACAUUUUUGGAUCAAAGGAACAAACUCUUGAUUCUUAGAAAGCCCAUCCCGCUGGGGCCAGCAGGAGGCAACGGUAGGACCAUGGCCACGACCAUCCCAAGGGGCACUGCUUGCUCUCAACUCCUGCCCCAGAGGAAAGGGGCUGGGGAGAGGGGCCUCCUCCUACCAGCCCUGCCCCCUUCCUUCCCGAAGGAGGAAGCAGCCCAGUGUGGGAGCUCCUUUUGCAGAGAAGAGUGACAGCCAGGCGGCCUCAGGGAGACACCCUCCUGGAGGCGACCCCUUGCCAGCCUUUUACCCCGAAAGGCCCACCUCGGGCCUGAGUUCCUGGCUUGAGGGGCCGCCGCCUGCCAGGUCCUGACGCAGCCUUCGUUUCUCUUUGGCCAUAUCCAUGCCUCACCUCCCAGUCAGCAUCCACGUUCUUUCAGGCUGUGCCCUGCAUUUCACAAGUGGCCAUGUCAGACCUCCAGCUCUGUCUCCCUCCAUCCUGUGCUGGAGUCAGCAGUGGCUUUUGUGACCCCACUGCACCCUUGGGGUCACCAUCAACUCAAGUGUGGACAACUAUUUAACAUCUACCUCGCUGGUCUCCCCAAUCUUGCCCCUUUCAAACUAUAUCCAUCCAGCAGCCAAGGGAAAGAUGAUUCAUUAAAAGUUAAGUAACUCCAUCUCAAAUCCUCCGUUUUCCAUUAAUAAGCUUCCAAGCCAUUACCCUGGCUUCCAAGGCCCUGUCUGCAUCAUCAGGGCCUCCACAGAUGUCCCCACACCAGGGAAUAUUCUCCAGCUAACUUCCAAGCUCCUCUCAUCUCAGUGCCCUUGAACAUGCUGUUCCCUCUGCCUGGCAUGCCUUUCCCCCUAUUCUUUCAAGGCUGCCUCUUCCUUUUAUUGCUCUCAGUAACUUGGCACAUCCCUGAGUACACAGGAGGUGCUCACGAAAUAAUAAAGCCUUUAAAUGCUG